GAGGGAGGAAAACCACCGGAAGUGGACUGUCUAGGCGGUGACAUCAAACUCGCAUACAAUAAUGAGCUAUAUCGCACAGGUGACACAAUAAACGGAUUGUAGCUUCGCGGCUCUUUUGACAUGUUUGAAGGUUACGCAAAAGAAACUGUGGCAAAGAAGACUCUUAUUCAAACGCUGAUUUAAUAUCGCUUUGAAACUUAUGAUUUUGCAACGUGAAACUAGCGCAGUGAAAUUUGUCAGCCAGAUUGCGAGAUUUCGACCCCGAGACACAUUUCUUGAAAUGUCCUCAACCUAAACCCGCGAAUUUGAUAAGGAAUUGCGGGAUAGGAAGCAGAAUGCCUUUCCACUCAAUUGUAUUACUUCUGCUGGAGGAAAUGUCGAAGUCAACAACUGUUACCAGUCAUAUCACAGCGGGACAAGCGGAGUCAAUAACCUUGUCCAAGGAUACAACACAGUGACUUGCAUUGUAUGGCCUCUUGAAAUGAAAG